GCCUACAGAGUAAGACAGAACACAGACUGUGUCUCAUGCUCCUCUGAAUCUGCUACAUAGCAAGUUCUCGCAGGAAAUAGAGAACUCAAGAUGACUAAAGGGGCCCAGGAAACAGAAACAAGGCCAGGUCUUCCAGGGCUCCUGAUUCCCAGUGCAGGUCCUCAGGUGCUCCUCAGAGUCCGCUCCAUGCCAGGGGUGGGGGAGUAUAUGUCCUGCCAAAAUGAGCACCAUUUCUUGACUCUUUCCAAGAACGGAGACUGGCAACAGCAUCCCUGCCUUAGUUUCCAGCAUGACAUCAACUGGGACAAAGGAUCAGGUGCUUCAUCUGGACAGGGAGCGAUCACAUCUGGUCCCAGCAUACUUACCAUUCUCUGCUGCCCCCAGCCCUGCUGAUCUGCUCCUUUAGAUGACCUGCUCGAUCUUAGAAGGUGUGUCUACAGCCCUAGUUUCGACCACUUUGGUCUGAGUCCCCUGUAUAAGGAGGUACGACCCUCCUGCCCUGAGAGCACCUCCCCUGCUAAGCUCACCCACAUCAGCUUCUCUGCCCAUCUGUUUUCUCAGCCCAGCCCACAAGUAUUAGGAAAGAUGAGUUGCUGCUCCCAAACCUCCCUGGACCACCAGCUCAGCCC